AGUAAGCAAGGCAGAGAAGCAAGAGGCAAAAGUUAUUCAAGGCAGCAGGACACAGAGGUACUUGCUGAAGAUCUCCUACUGUCACAGCUCACCAUGAAAAUCAGCACUGCAGUAGCCACUGGCAUUGCUGUCCUAUAUUUUUGAGGAAAAAUGGGGAUCAAGUGAAACUGCAGCCAUUCUUGGGAGGAACCCUUAACUAAAUUCCAGACAAAAAGGACACAGUUACUCUGGCAGAAAACUGAUGUAAAGGAGCACAUCUGUCAGAUGCAACCAUGAGUUUCAAUGAUGGGCUUCAUCUCACAGAGGAGCAGCAUUACUCAAGCAGUGUCUUGCCUUGUCCUGGUUCUCCUCAGAACUCUGGUCAGCAAAGUUCACAUCCCAGCCCAGCUCUCAGCCAACAGGUCACUGCAACAGAAGCAGGGCUUGUGUUUGGGGGUUUGGGCUCUGGCCAUUCCCACCAGAGACUCAAAUGGAAUCUGAAAGUUGCAGAUCUGUCACAAGCACUUCCCCUUCUGUGGUUUCCUUGAUGCUUCCAGCUCAGCAAAACUGGAAAACCCUGGCAUAAUUUCCCUGUCAUGAUGCACUUAUUUUCUCUCCUUGAAAAUCUGGGUGAAUAGGAGGGAAGUAGCAGCAGGGACUGAGCAUUGUGAAGAGGAAAACCCUGCAGCCACCCCAGCUCCAGCCCCACCUGUGAUCCCUCAGGCACUGCAGCACCAUGAAGUUCACAGAAACAAAUUGAA